UGAUACUAAGCCAUGCGAGUCAUUGUAGCAAUACAAGGCAUACGGCUCAGUAACGCGUAGUCAACCUAACCUAUGGACGGGAAUAACCUCGGGAAACUGAGAAUAAUGCCCGAUAGAACAUUAUGCCUGGAAUGGUUUAUGUUCCAAAUGAUUUAUUGCCGUAGGAUGGGACUGCGGCCUAUCAGUUUGUUGGUGAGGUAAUGGCCCACCAAGACUAUUACAGGUACGGGCUCUGAGAGGAGUAGCCCGGAGAUGGGUACUGAGACACGGACCCAGGCCCUAUGGGGCGCAGCAGGCGAGAAAACUUUGCAAUGUGCGAAAGCACGACAAGGUUAAUCCGAGUGGUUUCUGCUAAAGGAACCUUUUGUCAGUCCUAGAAACACUGAUGAAUAAGGGGUGGGCAAGUUCUGGUGUCAGCCGCCGCGGUAAAACCAGCACCUCAAGUGGUCAGGAUGAUUAUUGGGCCUAAAGCAUCCGUAGCCGGCUCUGUAAGUUUUCGGUUAAAUCUGUACGCUCAACGUACAGGCUGCCGGGAAUACUGCAAAGCUAGGGAGUGGGAGAGGUAGACGGUACUCGGUAGGAAGGGGUAAAAUCCUCUGAUCUAUUGAUGACCACCUGUGGCGAAGGCGGUCUACCAGAACACGUCCGACGGUGAGGGAUGAAAGCUGGGGGAGCAAACCGGAUUAGAUACCCGGGUAGUCCCAGCUGUAAACCAUGCAAACUCAGUGAUGCAUUGGCUUGUGGCCAAUGCAGUGCUGCAGGGAAGCCGUUAAGUUUGCCGCCUGGGAAGUACGUACGCAAGUAUGAAACUUAAAGGAAUUGGCGGGGGAGCACCACAAGGGGUGAAGCCUGCGGUUCAAUUGG
rnacentral:rRNA from 1 species